rnacentral:rRNA from 1 species
UACAGAGGUCUCAAGCGUUGUUCGGAUUCAUUGGGCGUAAAGGGUGCGUAGGCGGCGCGGUAAGUCGGGUGUGAAAUCUCGGAGCUUAACUCCGAAACUGCAUUCGAUACUGCCGUGCUUGAGGACUGGAGAGGAGACUGGAAUUUACGGAGUAGCGGUGAAAUGCGUAGAUAUCGUAAGGAAGACCAGUGGCGAAGGCGGUUCUCUGGGACGGUACUGACGCUGAGACGCGAAAGCGUGGGGAGCGAACAGG